UNGUCAAAAAGUUCAGGGUGCACUUGAGA
rnacentral:piRNA from 1 species